CCUACGGGUGGCUGCAGUGGGGGAUAUUGCACAAUGGGGGGAACCCUGAUGCAGCGACGCCGCGUGGGUGAAGGAGCGUUUCGGCGCGUAAAGCCCUAUCGGCAGGGAAGAAGAAGGACGGUACCUGACGAAGAAGCCCCGGCUAACUACGUGCCAGCAGCCGCGGUAAUACGUAGGGGGCAAGCGUGAGCCGGAUGUACGGGGUGUAAAGGGGGCGCAGACGGCAGCGCAAGCCAGGAGGGAAAGCCCGGGGCCCAACCCCGGGACUGCGCUUGGAACUGCGCGGCUGGAGUGCCGGAGGGCCAGUCGGAAUUCCUGGUGUAGCGGUUACAUGCGUCGAUAUCAGGCGGAACACCGGUGGCGAAGGCGGCCUGCUGGACUGCGCCUGCCGUUGCGGCCCGAACGCGUGGGGAGCAAACAGGAUUAGCUACCCCUGUCGUC
rnacentral:rRNA from 1 species